GGUCUAGUAUAGCAAUUAUACCGUGAAACUGCGAAUGGCUCAUUAAAUCAGUUAUCGUUUAUUUGAUAGUACCUUACUACUUGGAUAACCGUGGUAAUUCUAGAGCUAAUACAUGUAAAACCCCAACUUCGGAGGGGUGUAUUUAUUAGAUAAAAAACCAACGCCCUUCGGGGCUUCUUGGUGAUUCAUGAUAACUUUACGGAUCGCAUGGCCUUGCGCCGGCGACGGUUCAUUCAAAUUUCUGCCCUAUCAACUUUCGAUGGUAAGGUAUUGGCUUACCAUGGUUUCAACGGGUAACGGGGAAUGGGGCGGGGGCGGCGGGCCGGGCGCGGGGCGCGGCGGGC
rnacentral:rRNA from 1 species